CCAAUAGCGUAUGUUAAAGUUGUUGCAGUUAAAAAGCUCGUAGUUGAAUUUCGGGGUUAGUAGGUUGGUCAUGCCUCUGGUAUGUACUGGUCUCACUGAUUCCUCCUUCCUGAUGAGCCGUAAUGCCAUUAAUUUGGUGUUGCGGGGAAUUUGGACUGUUACUUUGAAAAAAUUAGAGUGUUUAAAGCAAGCUAACGCUUGAAUACAUUAGCAUGGAAUAAUGAAAUAGGACGUUCGAUCCUAUUUUGUUGGUUUCUAGGACUGACGUAAUGAUUAAUAGGGAUAGUUGGGGGCAUUAGUAUUCAAUUGUCAGAGGUGAAAUUCUUGGAUUUAUUGAAGACUAACUACUGCGAAAGCAUUUGCCAAGGAUGUUUUCAUUAAUCAAGAACGAAAGUUAGGGGAUCGAAGACGAUCAGAUACCGUCGUAGUCUUAACCAUAAACUAUGCCGACUAGGGAUCGGAUGAUGUUAAUUUUUUAAUGACUCAUUCGGCGCCUUACG
rnacentral:rRNA from 1 species